CAGGUGAGUGUACGGCAACCUGGAGACCAACACCAGAGACUGGAACACAGACAAACACAGGUGUCAACAGGUGUUUAUAGGUGUGUACAGGUGUAAACAGGAAUAAACAGGUGUGUACAGGUGUAAACAGGUGUUUACAGGGGUGUAAGCAGGUGUUUACAGGUGUGAACAGGUGUGUAAGCAGGUGUAAACAGGUGUAAACAGGUGUGAGCAGGUGUUUACAGGUGUGAACAGGUGUGUAAGCAGGUGUAAACAGGUGUGUUCAGGUGUGUUCAGGUGUGUUCAGGUGUGUUCAGGUGUGCC